GAUGAACGCUGGCGGCGUGCCUAAUACAUGCAAGUCGAGCGAACGGACGAGAAGCUUGCUUCUCUGAUGUUAGCGGCGGACGGGUGAGUAGCACGUGGAUAACCUACCUAUAAGACUGGGAUAACUUCGGGAAACCGGAGCUAAUACCGGAUAAUAUUUUGAACCGCAUGGUUCAAAAGUGAAAGACGGUCUUGCUGUCACUUAUAGAUGGAUCCGCGCUGCAUUAGCUAGUUGGUAAGGUAACGGCUUACCAAGGCAACGAUGCAUAGCCGACCGGAGAGGGGGAUCGGCCACACGGGAACGGAGACACGGUCCAGACUCCUACGGUAGGCAGCAGUAGGGAAUCUUCCGCAAUGGGCGAAAGCCUGACGGAGCAACGCCGCGUGAGUGAUGAAGGUCUUCGGAUCGUAAAACUCUGUUAUUAGGGAAGAACAUAUGUGUAAGUAACUGUGCACAUCUUGACGGUACCGAAUCAGAAAGCCACGGCUAACUACGUG
rnacentral:rRNA from 1 species